CCCCUCUUAGAAUCACACCCGGAGAGUUUCCAGUACUCUACCAGUCUCGACUACAGGAGGGAGAGUCAAGCAGGGGCAUACCCAUUCCAUUCCUAGCUUGGGCAACGGCUAGCGACUGGAAGGCAAUCAGCUACAAGU